GAUGAACGCUGGCGGCGUGCCUAAUACAUGCAAGUCGAGCGAACGGACGAGAAGCUUGCUUCUCUGAUGUUAGCGGCGGACGGGUGAGUAACACGUGGAUAACCUACCUAUAAGACUGGGAUAACUUCGGGAAACCGGAGCUAAUACCGGAUAAUAUUUUGAACCGCAUGGUUCAAAAGUAAAAGACGGUCUUGCUGUCACUUAUAGAUGGAUCCGCGCUGCAUUAGCUAGUUGGUAAGGUAACUGCUUACCAAGGCAACGAUGCAUAGCCGACCUGAGAGGGUGAUCGGCCACACUGGAACUGAGACACGGUCCAGACUCCUACGGGAGGCAACAGUAGGGAAUCUUCCGCAAUGGGCGAAAGCCUGACGGAGCAACGCCGCGUGAGUGAUGAAGGUCUUCGGAUCGUAAAACUCUGUUAUUAGGGAAGAACAUAUGUGUAAGUAACUGUGCACAUCUUGACGGUACCUAAUCAGAAAGCCACGGCUAACUACGUG
rnacentral:rRNA from 1 species